UACGAAGGGGGCUAGCGUUGUUCGGAAUUACUGGGCGUAAAGCGCGCGCAGGCGGUUCUUUAAGUCAGGGGUGAAAGCCCAGAGCUCAACUCUGGAAUUGCCUUUGAAACUAGAGAACUUGAGUACGGGAGAGGUGAGUGGAAUUCCGAGUGUAGAGGUGAAAUUCGUAGAUAUUCGGAAGAACACCAGUGGCGAAGGCGGCUCACUGGCCCGUUACUGACGCUCAGGCGCGACAGCGUGGGGAGCAAACAGG
rnacentral:rRNA from 1 species